rnacentral:rRNA from 1 species
CCGACGGUGAGGGGCGAAAGCUGGGGGAGCAAACCGGAUUAGAUACCCGGGUAGUCCCAGCCGUAAACGAUGUGCGUUAGGUGUAUCGGUGACCACGAGUCACCGAGGUGCCGAAGAGAAAUCGUGAAACGUACCGCCAGGGAAGUACGGUCGCAAGGCUGAAACUUAAAGGAAUUGGCGGGGGAGCACCACAACAGGUGGAGCCUGCGGUUUAAUCGGACUCAACGCCGGGAAACUCACCAGAUAA